rnacentral:rRNA from 1 species
UGAGGAAUAUUGGUCAAUGGGCGAGAGCCUGAACCAGCCAAGUAGCGUGCAGGAUGACGGCCCUAUGGGUUGUAAACUGCUUUUAUGUGGGGAUAAAGUGCGUGACGUGUCAUGCAUUGCAGGUACCACAUGAAUAAGGACCGGCUAAUUCCGUGCCAGCAGCCGCGGUAAUACGGAAGGUCCGGGCGUUAUCCGGAUUUAUUGGGUUUAAAGGGAGCGUAGGCUGUCUAUUAAGCGUGUUGUGAAAUAUACCGGCUCAACCGGUGGCUUGCAGCGCGAACUGGUCGACUUGAGUAUGCAGGAAGUAGGCGGAAUUCAUGGUGUAGCGGUGAAAUGCUUAGAUAUCAUGACGAACUCCGAUUGCGCAGGCAGCUUACUGUAGCAUAACUGACGCUGAUGCUCGAAAGUGCUGGUAUCAAACAGG